GGCGAACGCUGGCGGCGUGCUUAACACAUGCAAGUCGAGCGGAAAGGCCCUUCGGGGUACUCGAGCGGCGAACGGGUGAGUAACACGUGAGUAACCUGCCCCAGACUUUGGGAUAACCCUCGGAAACGGGGGCUAAUACCGGAUACGACACAGCUUCGCAUGGGGUCUGUGUGGAAAGUUUUUCGGUUUGGGAUGGGCUCGCGGCCUAUCAGCUUGUUGGUGGGGUGAUGGCCUACCAAGGCGACGACGGGUAGCCGGCCUGAGAGGGCGACCGGCCACACUGGGACUGAGACACGGCCCAGACUCCUACGGGAGGCAGCAGUGGGGAAUAUUGCACAAUGGGCGGAAGCCUGAUGCAGCGACGCCGCGUGAGGGAUGGCGGCCUUCGGGUUGUAAACCUCUUUCAGCAGGGACGAAGCGUAAGUGACGGUACCUGCAGAAGAAGCGCCGGCCAACUACGUG
rnacentral:rRNA from 1 species